rnacentral:rRNA from 1 species
GAACGCGAAGAACCUUACCAGGCCUUGACAUCCCGGUCGCGGACUCCUGAAAGGGAGUCUUUCAGUUCGGCUGGACCGGUGACAGGUGCUGCAUGGCUGUCGUCAGCUCGUGUCGUGAGAUGUUGGGUUAAGUCCCGCAACGAGCGCAACCCUCGCCCUUAGUUGCCAUCAUUCAGUUGGGCACUCUAAGGGGACUGCCGGUGAUAAGCCGCGAGGAAGGUGGGGAUGACGUCAAGUCCUCAUGGCCCUUACGGCCUGGGCCACACACGUGCUACAAUGGCGGUGACAAUGGGCAGCAAAGGCGCAAGCCCAAGCUAAUCUCAAAAAGCCGUCUCAGUUCGGAUUGGAGUCUGCAACUCGACUCCAUGAAGUUGGAAUCGCUAGUAAUCGUGGAUCAGCACGCCACGGUGAAUACGUUCCCGGGCCUUGUACACACCG